rnacentral:rRNA from 1 species
UACGGAGGAUGCAAGCGUUAUCCGGAAUGAUUGGGCGUAAAGCGUCCGCAGGUGGCAAUGUAAGUCUGCUGUUAAAGAGUCUAGCUCAACUAGAUAAGAGCAGUGGAAACUACAUAGCUAGAGUACGUUCGGGGCAGAGGGAAUUCCUGGUGUAGCGGUGAAAUGCGUAGAGAUCAGGAAGAACACCGGUGGCGAACGCGCUCUGCUAGGCCGUAACUGACACUGAGGGACGAAAGCUAGGGGAGCGAAUGGG